ACGAACCCUUGUAAUUCCUUUUUUAGUGAAAAGGCAUGAGCCCGGCUUUAUAAAUAAAGCCACUAAGCAGAGUAACAACCAUCACAACACCACAAGUUCAACAACCAGCCAAGGCCAAACGAUAAGCAAAGUAUGAGAUACAGGGCGCGCAGGCCACACCCACGGCACGUAGGCCGGACAAGCAAAAACUUCGAGAGAAAAGGAAGAUCAGCAGCCAUGCCCGCAGACCACCAAGAGGUUAGACAUCAGGAUCCUGCAGCGAAAGGGAAGAUGCCGAGGCCCAAAUCUUAGAUAGCAGCAAGUCGAAGCAGUCGCGGUCUUCAGGCUUAGUGAAUAAUCUCCUCUGCUGCAGGAACAUACAAGCUUUAUAUAAGAAAUCAACGGGUUUAGCAGGAAAAAUAUGUUCAAUGGUAAAAUUCUUCCUGGUAGUCCACAAGGCCCAACAGACCGCCGCCAGCCCAAUCCAGAACAACCGUUUCGUAACACCGACCAGAGGGAUGGCGACGGUCCGGAGCUCAGAAAAAGAAGUCGGAGCCCAAGACACUUGCAACCAAGAUCGAAAGCAGCACCAGAUCAGUUUAGCCAAGACACAGUUGAAAAAUAUAUGAUUGGUAUCCUCCAAAGCAUCACACAGGACACAACAGUCCGAACCCGGGCCAUGGUGUUUCUGAAUCUGAUCGGCCGCCGGGAGACGAUCCUGAAAUCUUGCCACAUGAAGAUUUUAAUCUUAGGAGGAAUACGUAACAGAGAAGCGACCCGAAGCAGAGUGUGUCCAGACCACCGACUCCUCCGCCUCCAAGAGUGUGGUAAAAAGGGCAGCAAGACGAUGCCAUUGAACCAACUCUUUAGGAGACAACGAGCGUUGGAAGGCCAAGUCCCAAUUAUCAUCCGCAAGCUCCGCGAUGGAGAUCUUAGGCUUAGCACGGAAGGAAAAGAACGUGGGGAAAGUCACCGAGAGAGUAGAAUCCCCACACCGCCAGUCAAGCCAAAAACGGGUCGAGGCGCCAUUACCCACCAAAAAUUUGACAUGGUCUUUGAAAAGAGGAUGGAUCUUAACCAAAUCCUUCCAAAAGUGCGACCCCCCUAGGGGAGGCAAACAUAGGAUUAGAGGAGGGGAAGUAUUUCGCCUUGAGAAUAGAGAACUAAAGGGAGUUCCGACCCGAGGACAUGAUUUUCCACCACCACUUGAUCAUAAGACAUUUGUUCAUCACCGCGGUAUUAAUGAUGCCCAACCCUCCCAGGUUUUUGGCCUACAAAUGAUAUUCCAUUUGACCAACCGAUACUUAUGGUUAUUGUCCGCUGAAUUCCAAUAGAAAGCACCUCUGUAAUUGUCGAAACCAACAUAUGUACCCACAGAAAGAAGGUAGAAGCCCAUAAUGAAGAUGGGCAGGGAGGAGAGACAAUAAUUAAUCAAGGCCACUUUUCCAACGUUCGUAUUAAAUCUACCCCUCCAUGGCAGCACCCGAUUACCAACCUUGGUAACAAUAGGCAUGAACUCCUUGGCACAAAGCAGACAAUUUAGGAAAGGAACCGAGGCUACAAUUUAGGAAAGGAACUGAGGCUACAAUUUAGGAAAGGAACCGAGGCUACAAUUUAGGAAAGGAACCGAGGCUACAAUUUAGGAGGUGCGCCACUCGUAAAGCCUCCACAUCAUCAACACGAGUGAUAAUGACCUCACUCUUUGCAAAGUUAAUUUUGAGCCCCGAUAAGGCUUCAAAGCAUAACAUGAUGAACUUAAGAUGAGCAAGGAAGGAAUCAUUGAGCUCCACCAUGAUAAUGGUAUCGUCCGCAUACUAAAGGUGGGUGCCCCAAUGGGGGAUGAGAUGAGAUAUUACGGGAGAAAUGUGGCCAGAAGCAGCAGCCCUAGACAUUAUACGCGAUAAGUCAUCGGCAACAAAAUUUAGAAGGAUCAGGGACGCCGGAUCCCCUUGCCUCAGGGCCCUAACAUUGGCAAAAAAUGUACUAACUUGACCAUUAACCUAAAUCGUCGUGUGCCCACCCGAAACCAACUGCAUAAUCCGAUGCACAUAAGCCCCGUCAAAGCCUUUGGCGAGCAAAACAUACGUAAGGAAAGGCCAACUGACCAAGUCGGAAGCUUUUUCAAAGUCCAGCUUUAGGAUCACCGCUUUCGAAUUGCGGGACUUAAGAUCAUGGACAAUCUCGUGAAGGCAAAGAAUCCCAUCAAGGAUAAAUCUACUUUUAACGAAGACAGAUUGGAAAGGGCUAAGCGUAUAAUGUGCAACAGGAGACAGCCGUGUGGAAAAACCCUUGCCAGGAAAUUUCGCCAUAUUAUUGAUAAGGGCAAUCGGCCCAAAUUGGGAGAUCAGCUCCGCGCCCUUAACCUUGGGUAUGAGGGAGAUAACAACAUAGUUUAGGUGGGAGAUAUCCACCGUCCCAAGACAAAACCCUUGGAUGAUGCUACAUACGAGGGCCUUAAGCUGUGGGCAGAAUUUUUUAAACGGGGGAUGGAAAAACCAUCAUGGCCCGAUGCAGCGUUAGGAUUAGCAGACUUAAUAACCUCCCAAAUCUCCUCAUCAGAAAGAGGCGGGAUUAAGGCAUCAUUCUCAAGAGCAGAAUUUCUAGAAGGGGCAUCCCAUAAGGAAUGAGAGAUAGAUAGAGCAGACUCCGGCCUAGCACAUAGAGGGAAGAGAAGAAAUCAACCACAUGUUCCAAAAUUUGAACCUGAUCAAAGACCUUCACCCCAUUAAUGAUUAAACUAUCCAGAGCACAUCUACUUCUCCUACCAUUAGCAAUCGCAAAAAAAUAAGCCGUGGGGGCAUCACCCUUCAAGGACCAAUUCAUAGUACCCCUUUGGCGCCAAUUUUCUCUCACUGCUGAUGCAAAAGCAUAAGGGCCUCUUCGAGACCAUAUCGCGAGCUCCACUCCCCCUCAGGCAGACCCGACCCAUUAGCCUGCGUGUCAAGGCUCGCAAUUUUGGCCUCCGGAGAGCCGUAAUUGCGGCGAGCCUCCGCCAUCCUGUUGCGUGACCAACCACGCAGAAAUUUGCAAAGAGCGUAGGAGCACUUGUGCCAAUCAUCCAUGGGACCAAAGGAAUGCUAGACGAAAGAAAGCAGCCCAGAGAUUUUAGUAGCUAACAAAUUAGGGAAACCCUCUACAAGAAGCCAUGAAGCGUCGAACUGAAAGCGCGAAGAAAUAACAGGAUAAUCCAAACCAGCGUCGAGAAUAAGAGGUGCAUGGUCCGAACCCUCGAUGGACUUGAAUUUCUGGGAAGCGCGGGGAAAAAGGGAAUCCCAAUUCGGGCAAAUAAAAACGCGGUCAAGCACUAACCGGAUAGGGUUAGACUGGCGAUUCGUCCAUGUGAAGCGGGCUCCCACCAUAGGAAGUUCUCGAAGAGCACAAUCAUG
rnacentral:lncRNA from 1 species